AACGAACGUUAGCGGCGCGCCUAACACAUGCAAGUCGAGCGAGAAAGGGCUUCGGCCCCGGUAAAGCGGCGCACGGGUGAGUAACACGUGGAUAACCUACCCCUUGGUCGGUGGGAUAACCUUCCGAAAGGAGGGCUAAUACAGCGUAAGACCACGACUUCGAAAGAGGUUGAGGUAAAAGUGGGCCUCUGUACACAAGCUCACGCCAGGGGGAUGGGGUCCGCGGGCCCCAUCAGCUAGUUGGGUAGGGUAACGGCCUACCAAGGCGAAGACGGGUAGCUGGUCUGAGAGGAUGAUCAGCCACACUGGAACUGAGACACGGUCCAGACUCCUACGGGAGGCAGCAGUGGGGAAUCUUGCGCAAUGGACGAAAGUCUAGACGCAGCGACGCCGCGUGAGUGAUGAAGGCCUU
rnacentral:rRNA from 1 species